rnacentral:rRNA from 1 species
CCUACGGGUGGCUGCAGUGGGGAAUAUUGGGCAAUGGAGGCAACUCUUACCCAGCAAUGCCGCGUGAAUGAAGAAGGUCUUCGGAUUGUAAAGUUCUUUAAUUGGGGACGAAAAAAAUGACGGUACUCAAGGAAUAAGCCGCGGCUAACUACGUGCCAGCAGCCGCGGUAAUACGUACGGGGCAAGCGUUGUUCGGAAUGACUGGGCGUAAAGGGUGAGGAGGCGGGGUAGCAAGUUAGAAGGGAAAUACCUAGAGCUUAACUCAGGUGCUGCUUCUAAAACUGCGAUACUUGAGUUCAGUAGAGGAAAGUGGAAUUCCUAGUGUAGCGGUGGAAUGCGUAGAGAUGAGGAGGAACAUCAGUGGCGAAGGCGACUUUCUGGACUGGAACUGACGCUGAGGCACGAAAGUGUGGGGAGCAAACAGGAUUAGAUACCCUUGUAGUC